UACGUAGGGGGCAAGCGUUGUCCGGAAUCAUUGGGCGUAAAGAGCGUGUAGGCGGUCCGAUAAGUCCGCUCUGAAAGCCCGGGGCUCAACCCCGGGAGGCGGGCGGAUACUGUCGGGCUAGAGUCCGGAAGAGGCAAGUGGAAUUCCUGGUGUAGCGGUGAAAUGCGCAGAUAUCAGGAGGAACACCGAUGGCGAAGGCAGCUUGCUGGGACGGUACUGACGCUGAGAACGCGGAAAGCGUGGGGAGCAAACAACGG
rnacentral:rRNA from 1 species